GCCCACUCGAAACAAGAUUGAUGCACAAGUCGUUCUCUAUGAGGACAAGCGACAAGGUUUUUCUAAUGUGAUGGCCAUCGAAAACAUGGGCAAAAGAAACCCUCUUGAUUGGUGGAGUUCAUAUGGUGGUCGAGCCAUUGACCUACAAAGGUUUGCAAAGAGGAUUGUUAGUCUUUGUGCAUCAUCAUCCGGUUGUGAGAGGAAUUGGAGUGCAUUUGAAUUUAUCCAUACCAAGAAAAGGAAUCGGUUACAACACCGAAUCUUGAAUGACA